rnacentral:lncRNA from 1 species
CUGGCACAUAAUUCCAUCUUUCAAAUGACCAUUUUUUUUUAUGUUAUAGUUUUUUUAUUUUUAUUACCUUAUGCUUAAAAUUCAUUUACUUUUAAAGGAGUUUUAUUUAUGUAAUAAUCCUGUUUGUUAGAAAUCUUGAUCGAUUUAUUUUGCAUAACUACGUGCAUUUGUAAACAAAUGACCCCCCUUUUCUCUCUAAAGACUGUUACGCCUAUUUAAAUCAUACAAUUAUUUCUCAAGCAUUGACAGAAAAUUGAUAUAUCCUCUGAUUUUCUCUUUUUUUUUUUGUAAACUGUUCAAUAAGUAUACAUAAAUCAUUUGGAAAUGUUAUUUAUUUGAGGUCGAGUCGAUAAUACUCUACUUUUGUUUUUGACCUUGAUUCUCCGAACACCACGUGGGCUUUGAACUAGAGGCUCUUAAGAGCCUGUGUUGCUCACCUUGGUCUAUGUGCAUAUUAAACAAAGGA